rnacentral:rRNA from 1 species
CCUACGGGAGACAGCAGUGGGGAAUAUUGCACAAUGGGGGAAACCCUGAUGCAGCGACGCCGCGUGAGUGAAGAAGUAUUUCGGUAUGUAAAGCUCUAUCGGCAGGGAAGAAAAUGACGGUACCUGAUUAAGAAGCCCCGGCUAACUACGUGCCAGCAGCCGCGGUACUACGUCGGGGGCAAGCGUUAUACGGAUUUACUGGGUGUAAAGGGAGCGUAGACGGCAGCGCAAGUCUGAAGUGAAAUGCCGGGGCUUAACCCCGGACCUGCUUUGGAAACUGUGCAGCUAGAGUGCAGGAGAGGUAAGUGGAAUUCCUAGUGUAGCGGUGAAAUGCGUAGAUAUUAGGAGGAACACCAGUGGCGAAGGCGGCUUACUGGACUGUAACUGACGUUGAGGCUCGAAAGCGUGGGGAGCAAACAGGAUUAGAUACCCCAGUAGUC